AGAGUUCGAUCCUGGCUCAGGAUGAACGCUGGCGGCGCGCCUAACACAUGCAAGUCGAACGGCACCCCUCUCCGGAGGGAAGCGAGUGGCGAACGGCUGAGUAACACGUGGAGAACCUGCCCCCUCCCCCGGGAUAGCCGCCCGAAAGGACGGGUAAUACCGGAUACCCCGGGGUGCCGCAUGGCACCCCGGCUAAAGCCCCGACGGGAGGGGAUGGCUCCGCGGCCCAUCAGGUAGACGGCGGGGUGACGGCCCACCGUGCCGACAACGGGUAGCCGGGUUGAGAGACCGACCGGCCAGAUUGGGACUGAGACACGGCCCAGACUCCUACGGGAGGCAGCAGUGGGGAAUCUUGCGCAAUGGGGGGAACCCUGACGCAGCGACGCCGCGUGCGGGACGGAGGCCUUCGGGUCGUAAACCGCUUUCAGCAGGGAAGAGUCAAGACUGUACCUGCAGAAGAAGCCCCGGCUAACUACGUGCCAGCAGCCGCGGUAAUACGUAGGGGGCGAGCGUUAUCCGGAUUCAUUGGGCGUAAAGCGCGCGUAGGCGGCCCGGCAGGCCGGGGGUCGAAGCGGGGGGCUCAACCCCCCGAAGCCCCCGGAACCUCCGCGGCUUGGGUCCGGUAGGGGAGGGUGGAACACCCGGUGUAGCGGUGGAAUGCGCAGAUAUCGGGUGGAACACCGGUGGCGAAGGCGGCCCUCUGGGCCGAGACCGACGCUGAGGCGCGAAAGCUGGGGGAGCGAACAGGAUUAGAUACCCUGGUAGUCCCAGCCGUAAACGAUGGACGCUAGGUGUGGGGGGACGAUCCCCCCGUGCCGCAGCCAACGCAUUAAGCGUCCCGCCUGGGGAGUACGGCCGCAAGGCUAAAACUCAAAGGAAUUGACGGGGGCCCGCACAAGCAGCGGAGCAUGUGGCUUAAUUCGAAGCAACGCGAAGAACCUUACCAGGGCUUGACAUAUGGGUGAAGCGGGGGAGACCCCGUGGCCGAGAGGAGCCCAUACAGGUGGUGCAU
rnacentral:rRNA from 1 species